rnacentral:rRNA from 1 species
UACGGAGGAGGCAAGCGUUAUCCGGAAUUAUUGGACGUAAAGCGUCCGCAGGUGGCACUUCAAGUCUGUCGUCAAAGACUGGGGCUUAACCCUGGAAAGGCGGUGGAAACUGAAGCGCUAGAGUGCGGUAGGGGUAGAGGGAAUUCCCGGUGUAGCGGUGAAAUGCGUAGAGAUCGGGAAGAACAUCGGUGGCGAAGGCAGCUCUCUGGGACGGUACUGACGCUGAGACGCGAAAGCGUGGGGAGCGAACAGG